UGGGGAUGCUAGAUGCAGAGUCUCUGGUCACUGAGAUAAUUGCAGUUUCUUCUCAUAUACCCUCCCUCUAUACCUGUUUCUACCCCUUACAAAUA
ensembl:miRNA predicted gene, 26301